AGCCUUCCAAUCUGUUAACCCUGGGAGGGUCUCCAGAGUCACACCUCCCCCACUGUCGAAUGUGUACUGUGGGUUUUGAGGGUUGCGAAUGUUGGGAUGGUGUGAUUAUCUCUCACUGCUACUUGCUUGCCCGCUCUGCCACCUGGGGCACAGUCCCUGAGACUCCAGGACAUAACCAGAGCCGCCGCUGCUGCCUCUUUCUCCUCCUCCUCCUCCUCCUCCUCCUCCUCCUCCUCCUCCUCCGAGGCAGUGCUGCUGUGAGGACUACAGAGGAAGGCAGGCAGGAAGCACACAGAGGAUAGAUGAGAAGUGCCUCUGUGACUCCCAGCCCUCCACCUGGAUCUGGAGAGAUGGCUCAGCAGUUAAGGGAACUUCCUGCUCUUCCAGAGCGAGCACUCAGUAGCAAAUCAGGUGGCUCAUAGUGGCCUGUAACACCAGCUCCAAAGGCUCUGAUGCCCUCUUCUGGCCUCAGUAGUCAUAGUAACCUGUGGCCACCAUCUAUUACACAGACACACACACACACACACACACACACACACACACACAAAGCAAUCCAUAAUAGGAAACAGGUACAUUUUGGGUUUUGUACAUUUUAAUGUAAUGAAAAACAGGUAUUUUCAUUACAUUAAAGCUCACCAUAAAAAGAUUUACCACCCCGCCCCUUUAACCCCAAGCUUCUCUGAGAAAGUUUAAAUCUGAUUUUCCAAAAACUAGACUUAAACCUCCAACAGAGACUUGUCACACUUAUACAAAAGACUUUAAUACUCUUCAUAAGGUACGUCCGGGUCCCUGAGAAGAGCCAAUCCUGCAAAGGAAGAUUCUUCCUCAUCUGUAAAAAUGUGAAGUAGUGCUAUCAUUACACAUACCUGUGUGAUUUGGUAGUGAUUGACCCUGAGCUUAAGGCCCAUCCACGCGCCUGGAGAUGUCACCCUGGAAGCAGGGACUCUCCCGAUGGAACAUCUGGAAGAGAGCGGGUGAGCCAGGGCUCCCUCCACACUCAGGGGCUCUAGCAGUUGCUCUUGGGGAGGAAAAGGUGGAUGGAGUUUCAUUCCCCUCUCCAUGAAGUAAAAUAAACAAGGCUGACUGGGGCUCUUGGCUCCAACUUUCCGAUGACUGAUUGUGAAGGCUGCUGCUCUGUUUGGGAGUAAAUCCCCUGGAGAGGAGAACAAACAGGAUCAUGAGAGAGCAAAGUCUAAAAUUGGAUGGGAGGAGAGUGCAAGACCGAAAUGGCUUUUUACUUCCCAUCAUGACUAGUGAUAACUUUACACACUCAGGCGUUAAUGAACAUCACAAUCUGGUGGUGUAUAGUCAAAUGGCAUAUUUUAACUGUUUCUCAUUAAUAAAGUAGAUUUUUAAAAUAUAUGUAUGAGAACAUUAGUGAUAUCCCCCACUAUUUUUGAGAAGUUUAUCUGAUAGAUACAGUCUUUUUCAAAUAUAACCUUUCUUUGCUAUUUACGUUUAGUCAAUAUUAAUUUAACAUAAUUUUCCUUAAUUGGUUCUUUGGUGCCUUUCUCUAAACAAGGCUGAAUGGGAUUGUAAGCAAUUGGCAAGUCAGUAUAGAAGUGGAUGUCCAGACAGGGCCACACUAGGCCUGGCAGGUGUUCCCCAGGAUGCUCCAGGAACGAGUAUCCAUGCUAGGCUCAGAACAGCCUCCCCAGGCCGAGUGAAUGUGCCUCGGGGUGGGUAAGCCUCCAAGGAAACAUCCGCCCACUGUAGUCCUCCAGAAGGUACUGUCUCCAGUCAGAGCCACCAGUGUGGCACACCCUGACAGCUGGCAUCCCUGCAUGCUUGUGAAUGGCUUCCCUUCAUGCUUCUGUGUGACUACUUGGCCCACCAGCCUUGGCACCUCUGCUUCAGCCUCGCAUGCCCCCUGGAGAUGACAUAGCCCUGUCUCUCCCUGCCUCAUGGGCUCCUGUUCCAAAGCUCUCCCCCGGAAAGAGCUUCUCCUUCUCGGGAGAAGACAUUUUGUCUGUGUCGACUGAUUGAGACUAUGUUAAAUGGCUGAAAAGCUGAGUCAUUUUGGAGCUGUGGGUGUGGUCAUCCUAGUCUGUUCUUCACUCAGGAUAAAAUGGAAGUUCUACUGAGAACCGUGGCCUAAGUUUGAGAGGAACCCAGUUAGCGGGAGGCAGCAGCCGUCCACUAAGCUGCUCUUGCCUGGCCUUGCUGUCACACGGAUAGACAUGCCACAUAGAGGGGAGGUGCUGAUGCCCACAGAUUAGGAAGACGUAUGAUAACACAGUGGGAGAGCCGCUGCCUCAGGAAGGGCAGACAGGCCAGUCUUAACCCCGAGGACUAUGGGGAGAGAACCAAAACCGUCACUGCCAAGCAAAUGUACAGAUAAUAUGCCUGAUUUGGUGGCUGAACUAGGAGUGGCCUCUCUCGUCUCUCCUUCCUCCAAAAACUGAGAGCUGUUGCUAAGCUCAUCAGAACAGUGGAGGAGGCAGGUGUGGAGACAAGCAGGCCACACUGCCAGCUGGCUGCAGGGUUGGGCAGACCCAUUGCCAGGCCCUGCCUUCAGAGACAGGCUUCCCUGUUAAAAGGAGAAUUCUCUAAGCAGGCCGACUGGCAAAAUGCUUAGACGUUCAGAUUGCUGUUGAGAACUCAGGGUCUUCAGGGGGAAACAAAAAACAAAGGACUGUUUUCUCUGCUUUCUCUGAUUGUUUUAGGGGCACAGCUUCUAGGUGAUGGACAGCGAAUGAAGUCUAUUGACAGAUAACAUUGAAUCGUUAGGGAACAGGCAAAUGAGAUCUGAGCUCCAACAGCAAGGAAUUGCUACACACCAGAUGCCAGAGUGCCUUGGUUUCUUUUCAGAAGAGAUGUGAGGGAGGCAGGUAUGGGCUGCAGGAGCAAGGGGCAGAAAGAAUGUGAGUGAUGAGUGGGGUGUGGCAGCCACAUGCUCCAUCCCCCUCCUAGGUAAUCCUCCAGGGCCUCCAGGGCCAGGGCACAAAGAGCUGCCCAAAUCCUGGCAAUAUGUGUCCUGUGUGUCUACUGCUGUCUCUCUUUUAGUGAAGGAUGUUUCUCACAUGUAACACGACAACUGUCAAUUGCUCCUAGCUCUGGGACAAGCACCAGGUCACUAGGUAGAUGAAGGUUUCAUCUUCUCCAUGCUGAGAAGACACAAGAAGAGAAAGGAAUUGCAGGCUUCUUGUAACUACAGCCGCUUUCCUAGUCCCACCAGACAGUCAAGGAGGGGGGCCAGAAGAGAAAUGUGUGCCCGUCAUUCGGGGCCCCUAUUUGUGAAAGUGCAGGGUGACCACGCCUAAGUAAGCCUCCUAAUUUUACCUAACAAUGUUGUUGCCUCUAGAGUCCCUUUGAAUGAUGAACUCUGGUGGCUAAGAAGAGCUCAGAUCUGUAUGAAAUCCACACAGGCAUCUCUUUCCAUAGGUGCAAAGGAACUUGGCCAAGGCUUCAGCUGAAAAGCAAUUGAAGCCAGCCAUUGCCGGUGUCCUCCUUAUGGCGGGGUUUCCGAGCAGCUCUCCAUGUGAUAGGAAAGCUCAGGAGUUCAGAGGCUGGAUAUGUCUGAGGUCUUGGUUCUCCACCAUGGAGAAAGGUCUUUCCAUCCUUAUUCCUGGCCUCCCCCUUCCCAAGGUGGACUAGCUGAACCUAGAAGAAACCCUAGGUUAGGAACCAGGACAGUUCUUCAGGUGGCACUUAGCCUUUUUUUAUCAGGUGUCCCAGACAGCCUUUUCAGGGCAGGAGGAUAACAAAAUGCAUUGGCCAAGAAAAUUCAGGUUGCCCAGUUUCAAGGCCUCUUAGCCUUUGGACCAUUUAAGCAGUUAGCUCACAAACCUUGGGCCGGCUUUUAGGGCAUAUUCUCUCCUGUCUCCAUCAGCUCCAGUUGAGCUGAACCUGCAAUGGCUUUUCCCAGCCACUGUGUCCUAAGGGAAAAGAAGCUUUAUCUCCUUGCAGGGCAUGGCAGCUGUAGCACACACACUGUGCUCCCUGGGUCACAGCAGUGAUACGUGCUGCUCAAGUUAGUGUGAUAAAUAAGAGAUGCGGAGCAGCCCGGGCAUGUUGCCUGGUUAAUCUGUUGAACCUGAUAAUGUGGAAACAUCUCUCCAGAGUCUUGGGUUUCAAGUUGGAAAUAUGUCCUUUAGUCUUCCUUCGGAUUCCUUUUCCAAGACUCUGGCUCCAUUUUUCCCCUGGGUCACGCACAAUGUGCAUUUGCUUUGGUGAGAAAAGAAGAGCCCCUUAAAAACAGAUGGCUGAGCACCAGCAUUUCCGACUGUGUGCCCACAUAAGUCACAACCACAUACAUACUCCCGCUCACCAUUUCAGUUCUACUCAACAGUAACAUGGCUGCCGUUUUGCUGUGCUGUUAGCUGUUCCUCCAAAUUCUAACCCAGUGGAAGACUUACUUAUUAUGUCAUUGCAAAGAACAGUAGAUGCUAACUACUGUGUACUUUGGUCACUAUUGUUUGUUGUCCACUAUAAAAAUUCUGAAUUCUCUAAUAUCUCGAUUUCAUCCCUGCAAGGUUUUCUGCCCAUGUGAUACAUGUAAUCAGGAAUUGACUGAGAACAACAAGGGAUUCCUGAUCACCCUCUCCAUCCCCUCUCUUCAGUUGUUUAAUGGCAGUAGAGGGAGAGAGUCACUAAAUAACAUCAGUCUUUAAUUCUGUGCCUGAGAUUUCUAGAAGUGUGACAGAUACACUGAAAAAGCCCUUGGAAGCAAUGAAGGUUAGAGCCUUCCUCUAUUAGGAAGAACGGAGCACACUCAUGUGUAUCUCCUCAGUGCCACAUAGUCUGUGGCCAUACCACUCUGAACAUACACAAUCUCUUUUGGAUGUCAUCAAGAGAUAGGUCUGUCCACACUACUCUUAUUUAUUCUACAAACACCUACCCAGUACCUAGAAUGGGCUGGGCAUUGUGUAAUGACUUUGAAAAAGCCAGAACAGAAGACAUCUUGCUGUCUUUUAGAACCACACAGUCAAGUAAGGAAGGGCAGGUCCUCCA